rnacentral:snRNA from 1 species
GGGUGUGAAGACGGUCUGGCUGCGACAUGUCACCCCAUUGAUCCCUGGAGUUGAUUCAGCUGAUCUGACUGGCUAGGCAGGUAUCUCUCUCCCUCAUCGCUCCAUGUGCGCCCCUCCCAAAGCUGUGUGCUGGGUACAAGAGGAAACGAGGGCGACUUUCCCCAAUAGAGGAGGACUUUCUUUGGUCGAGGGUAAACGAGCAGCUGCACUCCCCUGCUAGAACCUCAAACAGGCUCUCAAGGUCCAUUAGUAGGAGAACAUACGGUGGUCAAGCUUCCAAGACCCCAGACACACCCAAAUGAGGUGCUGCACGUGGCAGUCCGCCUUUCUUU